UCGGUCUAGGGUGGCUCUGAGCC
rnacentral:siRNA from 1 species